rnacentral:rRNA from 1 species
AUUGAACGCUGGCGGAAUGCUUUACACAUGCAAGUCGAACGGCAGCACGGACUUCGGUCUGGUGGCGAGUGGCGAACGGGUGAGUAAUACAUCGGAACGUGCCCAGUCGUGGGGGAUAACGUAGCGAAAGCUACGCUAAUACCGCAUACGAUCUAAGGAUGAAAGCGGGGGAUCGCAAGACCUCGCGCGAUUGGAGCGGCCGAUGGCAGAUUAGGUAGUUGGUAGGGUAAAGGCCUACCAAGCCGACGAUCUGUAGCUGGUCUGAGAGGAUGAUCAGCCACACUGGGACUGAGACACGGCCCAGACUCCUACGGGAGGCAGCAGUGAGGAAUAUUGCACAAUGGGCGAAAGCCUGAUGCAGCGACGCCGCGUGGAGGAUGAAGGUUUUCGGAUUGUAAACUCCUGUUAAGUGUGAAAAAAGACUCGUUUUUAAUAGAAACGAGGGAUGAUGGUAGCACUAAAGAAAGCACCGGCUAACUUCGUGCCAGCCGCCGCGGUAA